GACCUGCGGAGGGCGAGGGCUGGUUGGAGGUCGCUGUUCUUUCUGAGAACCGAGCCGGGGUCGCAGGAGGGCGGGGAUGGGUCAACGGGGACCUCUGAGUGGGGUUUGGCUGAGAGAGGCCACAGUUUCAUCUUUGGGAAGCUACCCUGGGCCGGCCACACGCCGUGAGCCGCACUGGCGAGGCCCCUCUGCCUCCACUGCGCUCUUUGACCCGAGAAAUUCAGCUCAGCCCGAGUCUCGCGGCAACCUCCCUUUGGCUCCGCCUUUUAAAGGACCUUUACGAGACAGGCAAGAGAGCCACAGAGGAGAAGGUGAUGUGAAGACAGAGCAGGGAUUGGAGUGAUACAUCUACAAACCAAGAAAUACCAAUGGUUGCUGCCAGCCACCAGGAUCUAGGAGAGUGGCAUGGAACAGAUUUUCCCUUAGAACUUUCAGAAAGAACUAACCCUGUCAACACUGUGAUUCUGGACUGUGAGAGAGAAAGUUCUGUUGUUUUAAGCCAUCAAGUUUGUGGUAAUUUGUUAUGGCAACCGUAGGAAACUCAUCACCCAGUAAAUCCAAAUUAAAUAUUA